CCUACGUGCGGCAGCAGUGAGGAAUAUUGGUCAAUGGGCGCGAGCCUGAACCAGCCAAGUAGCGUGAAGGAUGACUGCCCUACGGGUUGUAAACUUCUUUUAUAAAGGAAUAAAGUGAGGCACGUGUGCCUUUUUGUAUGUACUUUAUGAAUAAGGAUCGGCUAACUCCGUGCCAGCAGCCGCGGUAAUACGGAGGAUCCGAGCGUUAUCCGGAUUUAUUGGGUUUAAAGGGAGCGUAGAGGGGUUGUUAAGUCAGUUGUGAAAGUUUGCGGCUUAACCGUAAAAUUGCAAUUGAUACUGGCAGCCUUGAGUACAUUUGAGGUAGGCGGAAUUCGUGGUGUAGCGGUGAAAUGCUUAGAGAUCACGAAGAACUCCGAUUGCGAAGGCAGCCUACUAAACUGCCACUGACAUUGAUGCUCGAAAGUGUGGGUAUCAAACAGGAUUAGAUACCCCUGUAGUC
rnacentral:rRNA from 1 species